rnacentral:rRNA from 1 species
UACAGAGGGGGCAAGCGUUGUUCGGAAUUACUGGGCGUAAAGGGCUCGUAGGCGGCCAACUAAGUCGGACGUGAAAUCCCUCGGCUUAACCGGGGAACUGCGUCCGAUACUGGAUGGCUUGAGUUUGGGAGAGGGAUGCGGAAUUCCAGGUGUAGCGGUGAAAUGCGUAGAUAUCAGGAAGAACACCCGUGGCUAAGGCGGUUCUCUGGGACGGUACUGACGCUGAGACGCGAAAGCGUGGGGAGCGAACAGG